rnacentral:lncRNA from 10 species
UUUCAGACUGAGGUUGACUGUGAGGUAACUGAAACCACGGAAAGCAAAACUGCCAACAAGAAUGUCCUGUUGGUGAGUGUGCUUAUUCAGAUGGAGCCUAGACAGUUUGUGAACACUGAUUCUGCUCUUAUGGAGCUUCUUGGUACUGGCACUGAAUGGUGUGCCUUAAAGUGAAGCCUGAAUGUCUCAGAUUGAUUUCAAACAAAUGCAGCAACAAAUCAAGGUGUUCUUCCUUGGGAAGUGAUGGGUGUUUUGCCUACUGUCAAUCUCUGGAAUCAUUCUGGCUACUAUGUGGACAAAAACUGUAGCAGGUAAAGAACAGGAGCCAAGAAGCCAGUAUGGAGCCAAAGAGCAGGCCAAGUGAGGGAUGAUGACUCACUCACUGGCUAGCUGAGUGGUUCUUGGUAUACCAACAAGAAUGAAAAUAACUUAACAGCAAUUUUAUAAAUUCACAUCCCCCAGAGCACCACAGAGUAAAGAAAUACUGCAUAUGGGUAACAACUGGUUCUUAGUUACUAAAUCUGAAAGAUCAAAUACAGUUAAUUACAUAAGCUUCUCUUGAGUUUUUCUGGGGGAAUAUACCAGGAGACCAUAAUCAAGGUACCAGUUUAUUGAUGGCUGUCCUUAACAAAUACAACUCUUCAAGAAAAUAAAGUAAUUUAAUGCAUAAUAAUGUUGAAUGCGUAAGUAGGAUCAAAAUUAGCUAUUUCUAAAUUGUUUAAAAAUCAGAAUUUCAUUUCAGAGUAAAAAUUAUUAUAAAGAUAAAGUAACAGUAAUGCCAUCACUAUGGAUCCUUAAUCUACAGUUUGUGAAUGUAAAUUACUUGAUCAUGUUUCCAGACUAAUUUUUGUAAAGAAAGGUUUUAUGGGUGACAUCUACAUUUGUUACCAUAUCUUCAUUUGACAAGGCAAGCUGGUAAAUU